CAUUAAGUGGCUGAAACGUUAAAGCAAUGGUCUCUUAAACCAAAAUAAGGUAUUUAACAAAUACCCUUAAUGA
rnacentral:tRNA from 1 species